rnacentral:misc_RNA from 1 species
AAAAAAAAGAAAAGAAAAAAAAAAUCUUGCUUAUGUCAUCUUAGAAAAUAAGAAGAUUGCUAAACAUAGUGCAACUAUAAUUAAUUUGAUUUUCAUUCUACAACUGAGGCAGGAAGUAAUUAUUCUUGCACUUGUACUCCUCUUGAACUGUGGUGCAGCUUCCAUUGAAGCACAACAAAAGCCUGUAUUCAACCGGGGCUGGGCAAGACGGGUUGAAGUUGAAAGUUGGAUUGUGAUGCAUCUUCAGCUCAUUACAACCAACAAACCUGAUCACCUCCGGAACAGAACUGGUUGAAGCCUGAAGUUAAACCAAUUAAAGCACAAAAAUUCCCUUUCGGACUUCAGAACUGCUGGGAUGUAUCUUACCUGAAGAGCCCAGCCCUCCAUCAUCAGAGUAAAGCACGAAGAGGACAGCCAUGUGAUAAACUGCAUCAUGCAAAUCUAAUACAGGAAGCUUAUCUACUUUAAAGCAACCAGUCAAGGACUAUAAAAUGUGUGAGAUGAUCAACAAAAUAGCAGAAAACAGAGAUAAUCUACUAUUUAUUGCUGAAGUGGGGAAAGUAAAGAUCAUUCUGAUGGGUGGGUUGCAUGCUGCACCCACAUAAUAAUUGUAAUAAAAAUACAAUGUAAAUUAUGUACAAAGAUUAUUGCAAUUGAAUGAAAGGAGAUCAUAUUUUGGCCUCAAAUAAUAUCGUACAUGUGAUUGUGAUCUGCACGGGGAAAAAAUAUUGGGAAAAAAUAUUACAUUCCUUCAAAAUAAACAAAAUGUCACAUAUAUCUCAAUAAAUUUCACCCUACAAAACUUCCAGUACAGAUCGGAUAAUUAAUAUGACCUUUCCUGCUAUUCUGUAUCCCUUUUCUUUUAUAUUGUCUUGCAGACCCUGAGACGGUUGAUGAAGGCUUUGCACUUGUCUUUUCACCCAGAGGCUCCAGCAGCACACUUACCAUAUUCACCCUGUUCUUCUUUGGAAAACUCUUCAAUCAAUUCCCAUUGUCUUGGAGUCAAGCUCGUUGGAAUGCUGACAGUGAAGUGCACAAAUUGGU